rnacentral:rRNA from 1 species
AACGAACGCUGGCGGCAGGCCUAAACAUGCAAGUCGAGCGGGCAUAGCAAUAUGUCAGCGGCGGACGGGUGAAUAACACGUGGGAACAUGCCCUUUGGUACGGAACAACUCAGGGAACUUGAGCUAAUACCGUAUGUGCCGGUAACGGGAAAGAUUUAUCGCCAAGGAUUGGCCCGCGUCCGAUUAGCUAGUUGGUGAGGUAACGGCUCACCAAGGCGACGAUCGGUAGCUGGUUUGAGAGAACGAUCAGCCACACUGGGACUGAGACACGGCCCAGACUCCUACGGGAGGCAGCAGUUGGGAA